GUGUAAAUGGCAAGGUUUAUUGAAAAGGGACUUUUCCCAUGGCAACCGAAGAUAUAUUCACAUGAUCGUUUUAUAUUUGUUUGUUCAAAUGUCAUCCGUGUACUGUUCGUUCAAUCAAUUUCCGAAUUUAUACAACCAAGACGUAUAAUCAUUUCAUUUUUCUUUUGUCGUCCACAAGAUUGAACAGAGACGGUGUGGGCGUAGAGAAGAGGGGCUGCAACAUGACUACGUCGCUAGCUGUUUUCAAAUAAAAGCUGUGUUAGUGAUAUUACCUGAACAUAUCCAGCUAGCUAGCUUCCGCAGGUUAGUUAUAAAUUAAAGUCACCAAUAAGUAACGUUAGUUAGUUAGCUGCCUUCAAUUAUUGGUGGCUUUACAGACAGACAAGACAGGGAGAUUAUAUUAAAAGCCACCAAGCAUUGAGCUAAAACUAGCUAGCUAUGAUACCAAACAGGUGAGUGUGCGUGCGUAUGUAUGUAUGUAUGUAUAUGGUAGGUUACAAGGAUCGUUCAAGACUGUCCAGCCCCAGCUAACGCGGCUUGACAUACCGAGUUUUGACCAUGACCCUUUCUCUGCCAUCAGUCAUUGGCAGCAGAAAACUGGAAGGAAAGGCAGCCAAAGGAGGUGUUGGCUUUGGGGAUGACCAGUGAGAUAUACCUGCUGGUGUUCAGUGAAAUAACAACACAAUGUCAAAUACAGAAUCUUCAUUCUCCAGAGACGUUGGAUGCAGAAUUAUACUCCUAUCCCUCACAUCCUGCACAUGUUCAGCAGAGAAGAACAUCCAUAGACAUGGAGCUGCUGCAGCAGAUAGACCACUUCCUACAGGUAACACGCAAACACAUGGUAAUCAUUUCCGCAUAGAAAGGUUUUAAAGUCUGCACUGAGAAUCUUAGGAGGUUUCUUUGUGUGUGCAUGUGUCUGCGUGGUGAGUUAAGGUGGCAGUGUUUCCUGAUGUGCUCUGUUAGAGGGUAUGUAUCUGAAGGCUCUAACCUGUAUGUGUGUGUAGGAACUGAGGAGGCAGACUGUCGUACCCUCUGUCUUCUCUGAAAGGGUCCUCUCUGAAGGGGUUAGUGUGUGAAGGCUCUAGCCUGCUACUUCUGAUGCUGCUCCCUCUGAGGAAGAACGCCCUGAAAAACAUGACCUUUCUUUCACCAGGACACACACAUCUCAACCUCCACGUGUCAGUUGUUUUAGUCACUCUGCCCUACUCGUUUUUUUUUUUCUGUGCGAGGUGUGUUCACUGUUCUCAGUUUUGAUUUCAUUUCCAGACACUUCCACCCAACUGUGUGAUGAGUCUGGUGGGCCAAUGCGUCAAACUGUGGUCAUAGGGAGCUGGGGUGCCGAUGGUGGAGGUGUUUGGGGUGGCAAGGACAGUGGACUCAGUGGAGGACAUCCCAGCCACUUGGCAGUGUUGACACGUCCCACAUGACGGGUAAGUGGACAUCUACUUAUACAAUCAGUCAAUCAAAAGUCUACAUUUGGCCUUUUUCUUUUUACAUCAGCAGUUGUCACAAAGUGCUUUUACAGUAACCUGGCCUACACAAGGGGAACCUGAGACACACUGCUCCUGCCAUCUUUCUUCCUGUGUGAUGACAUAUCCUGUUUAGGCACCUGGCCAAGUGCAGGAGGAGUUGAAGGCGGAGCAUGCCUCGAACCUGCGAAGCACCCAGUGAUCUACGGUAUGAUGGCUGACUUUGCAGUUCCUGUUACUUCAAAAACCGAGCGACACUUUCAUGUUCACCCACGAAGACAUAUCUCCCUUCGCCUCCCGCCGACCCCCGAGGGGCAACUUCAACACCUCACAUUGAUGACACACACUGUGGCUGAAUCUCAAUAGUCUAGUUAGUAGCUUCCUCAGUCACUUUAGUGAGGACAAUACUGUUCUGGUUACACUAGUAUGUACAGAGGCCCUCGAUCAUCAAAUAUGAACGCUUUUAUGGAGGUUUUUGUCUUUUAUUUUGUGACACUGUUUUUACUGUCUUUUUGUUUGUAUUGGCUACACUAAAACAAAUUUCAAUCAACUCUGUUGAUAUGGCAAUUGCAACAGUUGUCAGUUGGUGUGACUAAAAUACAAUUUCAUGUCUUGUA